UUUCAACCAAUUAUUGAGGUAGACAUGUAAUUUCUGCUUUAUUUAUACCUAUAUCUUUGAUUGGGAGCAGUUCGUUGGGCCGAUUCCGAGGCAGUAAAAGAAAGAACAAUGGGAAAGCGAAGCCACGCUACGCAUGCCGCCCAAAAACCUCGAGUCCAACGGCGGUAGUGCUCGCCGAUUCAUCAACCCUAAUCCUGCCCAAAGCUUACCACUAGCCGCUGGCCGUGCAAUGGCCUCCGUGCGCGCGCGCGAUGCUCCGCCACCGCCGGUGAUUAGGAAGGCCGGGAGGUACACCGUUUUCAUCACCCCUCCCCCUCCCCGCACCCCGAAGCCUUGUGAGGAUUCUGGUUCGAAAAGCACGAGCCCUGAGGCCGAGCCUGUUUCCAGCCCUGAAAAGGUGGUUCUUUUACCAGAAACGACUGUCCGUUCGCCGUCGCCGAUGGCUCUGGAGGUUUCCUCACCCAUAGUUAGCGCUAGCCCUGGAAAGGUGGUCCCUUUGCUUGAGAAGGCUUCUCCUUUGCCGCCUCCGGUGCAGGUCCCGCCGCUUCAAGUCGACAAGCAGGCCGCCAAGUCAUCCGGAUCCGUGUUCGGGUUCUUCUGGGACGCCAUUACCAGAGUUCAAGAUGGUUCCCUUUUGUCCUCCAGAUUUCGAUAUUUGAUGCCUUUUUGAUGAGUUUAUGAGGGUUUCCUUGAAGCUUGUAUCUUCGGUUUGAAUUUCAGCGCAUUCAACUUGGAUGAGUGUUUAGCGGAUUGGUUCUGCUUAAACCAGUCAAAAUAUCAGUGGGCCUUGAACGAUUACUACGAUUAUACUGGAAAGAAGGAAAGGGGUAAAGGUGAUAAGUUGAAAGAAAUAGGUCGUAAUGGGCAAUCUGUAUGACACUUUGCAGCAGGUAUAUUCAGGUCACCUCUCCGCUCCAUGUUUAUCUAUCCUCUUGUGAAUCUUUUCCAUCUAUAUUUGUUGCAGAAAAGCUUCUCCGAAUUGGUUCCAAGUUUGAAGUUGUUUGGUAGUUAUAUAUGAUGCAACCGUUUUCUUGUCUGGCCCAACCGGCUCAAUGUUCCAGUAUAGCCAAUUCUAGAUCUUUUACUAGUUAUCAUUUUCAGUCAGGCUAUUCGUAGACCCAGUCACAUACUCGUGUCUAAGAAUGUCGUAGAACUCUCAUCUGAUAUCAUGCUUUGUUUAUAUAAUUGCAAGCAAUCAAAGCAAUUGUUCUUUCCCA